rnacentral:pre_miRNA from 1 species
AUCGUACUCCCUCCGUCCAACAAAAGAUGUUUCAAGUUUGUCAAAAUUUGGAUGUAUCUAAACAGACUUAGUGUAUACUAGCAUUCAAAUUUAGUCCAAGUUAAGACAUUUUUUGUUGGACGAGGGAGUAUAAG